UCGCCCUUCGGGGUGCACCAGGCGCGAAAACUUUACAAUGCCGGCAACGGCGAUAAGGGGACCUCGAGUGCCAGGUUACAAAUCUGGCUGUCGUGAUGCCUAAAAAGCAUUGCAUAGCAAGGGCCGGGCAAGACCGGUGCCAGCCGCCGCGGUAACACCGGCGGCUCGAGUGGUAACCGUUAUUAUUGGGUCUAAAGGGUCUGUAGCCGGCCGGAUAAGUCUCUUGGGAAAUCUGGCAGCUUAACUGUCAGGCUUUCAGGAGAUACUGUCUGGCUCGAGGCCGGGAGAGGUGAGAGGUACUUCAGGGGUAGGGGUGAAAUCUUGUAAUCCUUGAAGGACCACCAGUGGCGAAGGCGUCUCACCAGAACGGACCUGACGGCAAGGGACGAAAGCUAGGGGCACGAACCGGAUUAGAUACCCGGGUAGUCCUAGCCGUAAACGAUACUCGCUAGGUGUCGGCCACGGUGCGACCGUGGUCGGUGCCGUAGGGAAGCCGUGAAGCGAGCCACCUGGGAAGUACGGCCGCAAGGCUGAAACUUAAAGGAAUUGGCGGGGGAGCAC
rnacentral:rRNA from 1 species